AGUAUGUGAAUUGCAGAAUUCAGUGAAUCAUCGAAUCUUUGAACGCACCUUGCGCCCCUUGGUAUUCCGAGGGGCACGCCUGUUUGAGUGUCGUGAAAUUCUCAACCC
rnacentral:rRNA from 1 species